AACCCAUGGUGAAGUCAUCUUCUUAAUAAAUCUUUAUACAUCUCCCAUGCUUCAUAUAGAGUCUCUAAAUUGAUUUGAAUAAAUGAAGAGAUGUCAUUCCUCAACUU
rfam:Gossypium hirsutum cultivar TM-1 chromosome 24, whole genome shotgun sequence